GGUUAGUUUAUAUUCUUUAAAAGUUUAAAUUAUUUGAAUCUACAUUGAAGUAAAAAUACCAAAGUCUUCUGUUCAAAUCACAUCAAUAUUAUCUCGCUCAUGAAUGAAGAUGCUUUGAGUGACAGCCGGCCAUGUAGCGUUGGACAUAAAACAAUCCAACAUACAAGGAGCAUGAUAUAUUAACUCCGAAACGACAUAUUUACAAGUUCGUUACCGCACAGUUGACCUGCAUAACCGAGUUAUGUCCGAAGCAGGAUCAUCUAGAAAUGCUUCACAGAACCAACGCGUCCUAUGAGCAAAUAAUGAUUACGAUUAUUACGCGAAACAAAGAAUUGCUAGACGAAAAAAACACGAGAUGAAACUACGGAACGAAAAGCUCAAGAACGAAGAUGGAGCCAUAGCAUAUUCAGACUAAGAUUUAUUCUUAGUCGAUGUAAAUACUUAGUCGAUGUAAAUACUAACUUACGUGAGCUGUAGCAUAAAAAGUCCCUUUUAUUGAAUGCUUGUUUAAAAUUGAAUGUUUGUGGUACACUGUGUGUGAUGUGGGGAAGUAUACGGAGAUCAAAAGAAUAAUUGAAGUCCACCUUUGUACACGUUAGUAAUGUAACGUGGUUGGGAAUCUUGGGUUUUAUUUCUCCAUGUUUGUGUAUGUGUGUGUAAACAACCUGCAUAAGAACGGUGCGCGCAGGUCAGA